UGUCUCACCUCUCACACCGCCAUCUUUCCAUGUGUACACUCUUAAAUGUCACUUCUCUACAAAGAAGGCUCAUGGAAACACUGCUUUCCCCAUUAACAAAUCCAUUAUACCUAUAAUGAAACUAGUUGUGUUCACUUGUAUUAGCUUCAUAUGCAAAUAAAAAUAUGGGUAGUUAAAUAUACAUUGUCUUAAACAUGUAAAAUAAGGACAGUAAAUAGAUGCAUGGUCCCUUAGGCAGUCUACCAUUUUAGAAGGUUAAUAUAAGAGCUGCCAGAGUAUUCUGAUUAAGGCCAUGGAAAGAGGUUGCAAGCAAAUAACAUCUUGGAAGUAAUUCCUAAGAUUCCUUGGUGAGAUUAAGUAGAUCGUAAUUUACAGAAAGUACACUUUACGCUUUAGUUAAUGAGAUACUGUGGUAUAUUGAAUCAUUGUGCCCAAUGUUUCAUUCCUUUUCUGUGUUUGAAGUAAUCAUCCAUAUCCUUUGCCACGUGAUAUUGCCAUUCCUCCCAGUGUUUCUCCAAAUUGUUAAUAUUGGGCUUGGUCAUUCUGUUGACUUAUUUUGGUCAAUAGAAUGUGAAUAGAAGUGCAAGGGGGCCCCAUCCUGGCCAAGGCCUUAAGAGGCAUCCUAUGUUUCCUCUCACUCUCUUAUGCCUCCACCAUUCAGCAUGAGAACAUGGCUCAGGAAGUCACCAGACAAGGAGAAUUCGAGAUACAUGGAGCAGGCCUGAACCAGACCUACUGCCUGAAGUAGAAGCUACCCUGCUGACUUGCAAACCCAUGAACAAGAAAAUCAGUGUUUACUGUGGAAGAUCCAUUGCUCAAAAUAAGAUGGUUCAAAGACACAUCACCAAGUUUCUUCCUGUGGUUAUGCUACCUACUCUGAAUUCUUUCCUUCUAUCAAGUUGAGUAUCAAAAGCCUAUACUGCCCCAGUCCAUUGCAGAGUUGCUAUCACUAAGUUGGCUUUUAAUAUUAUGCCUCUGGGUUAAAGUUGCUAUGAAGAAAUUACAAUUUUUUACAAAUGUGGUAAUUUUUGAAGACAUUGUUUAAUAAAAUCUACUUUUUGUAAAAUAUCCUUGGGAUCCAAUUUUGGAAUAGCUCUGCUUUGCCUUAGGAUCUGGCAUGCUGGAUAUAAUGAAAAUCAUGUAUCUGAUGAGGUCUUAUUUUUCCCCUUGGCUACUAUGAAGCUCAGAGCUAAAAAUACACACACAUACACACAUGUAUAUGGAUACAUAUGUAAAUAAAUAAAUGUUUAAUGUUCUUUAAUUUCAGUUCCCUAUUUAAUACUAUACCCUUUCUAUAUAAAUGAUACAAUAUGAUCUUUUAAAAAAUUCCUCAAUUAUCUCAUAAAUAAUUCCCUACAGAACUUCCCUCUUCUUUUUGAUGUUUCUCCUUUGCCUACAAGUCAGAUUCUGUCUGGCAGCCAAGGCCACAGUAUAGCCAAACUCACCAAGAGUAUUGACAGUUUUUAAUACUCUGAUUACAAAAUAAGAACUAGAUCAUCAGUGCUGAAUGCAAUUGCUGCAAAAUUCUCUGUGGCUGAAGAAUACCCAGGCUAACUGGUCUCAGAAAUAAUGUGAAUGCAACUAGACUUUUAUGUUGCAAAUAGUUAUGCUUCAAGAUGCAGGACUUGGCAAUGGCAGUUUCCUGCAGGAACAAGGAAGGUUAAGAGAAAGAACUAACCUUUUGAAGGGCCCACCUGGUGCUAGGGUACUGUUAGCUUUUUGCUAUUUCCAGUGGUACACUGGAGCUGGCUCUUAUGCACUCAUGAGAGCCAAAUGUUACAAUUUCAUGAGUUUUGUGAGCCAUGUUGCUAGCUUAAAAUAGACCAUCAUGGGAGUAUUUAUACCUGCAAAUUGCCAAAUGCCCACAGAUCAGCCCCUCCAUCCCUAGAGAGCUAGCUGGUUGUUAGACACCACCACUGCUUAUCUGGCUUAUUGCUCACAACUAGCAAUAAGAUAGGUCUUUCAGUCCUCAUUCUAUAAAUGAGGAAACAGACCCCCAAAAAAGGGGAAAUUGUCAAGCUUUAGUGAGAAAUUACAGAGGAGACCAAAAAGAAAAUGAAACAGAAAGAAAACUACCAAAGCACGAAUAGGUAUAGGUACAGUGCUGACCCUAAGGGGCUAUACUCAGAGAAGAAAGAUCCUAUUCAGAGGAAGUCAACAAGCUAAUCUAAGGAGAUUGCCAGACUGAGGUUCAGAAGACUGUGAGGAGAACAAUUCAAUGAGGGACUAAGGGACCAAACAGAAAGUCUUCUAGGGGAAGCUGAAGGU